AGCCUAAACCCUUUUGGGGCAUGGCUAAGAAAACCGAUCAAGGUAGGAAGCUCCUCGUCAGAGCACCUUGAUCGGUCAUAUCCCGAAAGGGGUAUGGGUAGUCGAAAGGCUAUC
rnacentral:sRNA from 1 species